rnacentral:rRNA from 1 species
AGGUAUCGGAUUACUGGGCGUAAGCGCGCGUAGGCGGCUAAUUAAGUCAAAUGUGAAAUCCCCGAGCUUAACUUGGGAAUUGCAUUCGAUACUGGUUAGCUAGAGUGUGGGAGAGGAUGGUAGAAUUCCAGGUGUAGCGGUGAAAUGCGUAGAGAUCUGGAGGAAUACCGAUGGCGAAGGCAGCCAUCUGGCCUAACACUGACGCUGAGGUGCGAAAGCAUGGGGAGCAAACAGGAUUAGAUACCCUGGUAGUCCAUGCCGUAAACGAUGUCUACUAGCCGUUGGGGCCUUUGAGGCUUUAGUGGCGCAGCUAACGCGAUAAGUAGACCGCCUGGGGAGUACGGUCGCAAGACUAAAACUCAAAUGAAUUGACGGGGGCCCGCACAAGCGGUGGAGCAUGUGGUUUAAUUCGAUGCAACGCGAAGAACCUUACCUGGCCUUGACAUAGUAAGAACUUUCCAGAGAUGGAUUGGUGCCUUCGGGAACUUACAUACAGGUGCUGCAUGGCUGUCGUCAGCUCGUGUCGUGAGAUGUUGGGUUAAGUCCCGCAACGAGCGCAACCCUUUUCCUUAUUUGCCAGCGAGUAAUGUCGGGAACUUUAAGGAUACUGCCAGUGACAAACUGGAGGAAGGCGGGGGACGACGUCAAGUCAUCAUGGCCCUUACUGCCAGGGGCUACAACACGUGCCUACAA